CAGCCGCGGUAAUACGUAGGGUGCGAGCGUUGUCCGGAAUUAUUGGGCGUAAAGAGCUUGUAGGCGGUUUGUCGCGUCUGCUGUGAAAGCCCGGGGCUUAACCCUGGGUCUGCAGUGGGUACGGGCAGGCUAGAGUGUGGUAGGGGAGACUGGAAUUCCUGGUGUAGCGGUGGAAUGCGCAGAUAUCAGGAGGAACACCGAUGGCGAAGGCAGGUCUCUGGGCCAUUACUGACGCUGAGAAGCGAAAGCGUGGGGAGCGAACAGGAUUAGA
rnacentral:rRNA from 1 species